rnacentral:rRNA from 1 species
CGGGCGUCAGCAUCAGCUCGUCGAGCGAAUGGAUUAAGACGCUGUGCUCUUAUGAAGUUAGCGGCGGACGGGUGAGUAACACGUGGGUAACCUGCCCAUAAGACUGGGAUAACUCCGGGAAACCGGGGCUAAUACCCGAUAACAUUUUGAACCGCAGGGAUCGAAAUUGAAAGGCGGCUUCGGCUGUCACUUAUGGAUGGACCCGCGUCGCAUUAGCUAGUUGGUGAGGUAACAGCUCACCAAGGCGACCAUGCAUAACCAACCUGAGAGGGUGAUCUGCCACACUGGGACUGAUACACCGCCCAGACUCCUACGGGAGGCAGCAAUAAGGAAUCUUCCCCAAUGGACGAAAGUCUGACGGAGCAACGCCGCGUGAGUGAUGAAGGCUUUCUGGUCGUAAAACUCUGUUGUUAGGGAAGAACAAGUGCUAGUUGAAUAAGCUGGCACCUUGACGGUACCUAACCAGAAAGCCACGGCUAACUACGUGCCACCAACCGCGGUAAUACGUAUGUGGCAAGCGUUAUCCGGAAUUAUUGGGCGUAAAGCGCGCGCAUGUGGUUUCUUAACUCUGAUGUGAAAUCCCACGGCUCAACCGUGGAGGGUCAUUGRAAACUGGGAGACUUGAGUGCAGAAGAGGAAAGUGGAAUUCCAUGUGUAGCGGUGAAAUGCGUAGAGAUAUGGAGGAACACCAGUGGCGAAGGCGACUUUCUGGUCUGUAACUGACACUGAGGCGCGAAAGCGUAGGGGAGCAAACAGGAUUAGAUACCCUGGUACGUCCACGCCGUAAACGAUGAGUGCUAAGUGUUAGAGGGUUUCCGCCCUUUAGUGCUGAAGUUAACGCAUUAAGCACUCCCCCUGGGGAGUACGGCCGCAAGGCUGAAACUCAAAGGAAUUGACGGGGGCCCGCACAAGCGGUGGAGCAUGUGGUUUAAUUCGAAGCAACGCGAAGACCCUUACCAGGUCUUGACAUCCUCUGAAAACCCUAGAGAUAGGGSUUCUCCUUCGGGAGCAGAGUGACAGGUGGUGCAUGGUUGUCGUCAGCUCGUGUCGUGAGAUGUUGGGUUAAGUCCCGCAACGAGCGCAACCCUUGAUUUUAGUUGCCAUCAUUAAGUUGGGCACUCUAAGGUGACUGCCGGUGACAAACCGGAGGAAGGUGGGGAUGACGUCAAAUCAUCAUGCCCCUUAUGRCCUGGGCUACACACGUGCUACAAUGGACGGUACAAAGAGCUGCAAGACCGCGAGGUGGAGCUAAUCUCAUAAAACCGUUCUCAGUU